UACGGAGGGUGCAGGCGAUCUGCGGAAUCACUGGGUUUAAAGGGUGCGCAGGCGGCUUGAUAAGUCAGGGGUGAAAGCCCGCAGCUUAACUGCGGAACUGCCUUUGAUACUGUCGAGCUUGAAAGAGGUUGAGGUCAGCGGAACGUGACAUGUAGCGGUGAAAUGCAUAGAUAUGUCACAGAACACCGAUUGCGAAGGCAGCUGGCUGGACCUACUUUGACGCUGAGGCACGACAGCGUGGGGAGCGAACAGG
rnacentral:rRNA from 1 species